UACGGAGGGUGCAAGCGUUGUCCGGAUUUAUUGGGUUUAAAGGGUGCGUAGGCGGCUUAUUAAGUCAGUGGUGAAAUCCAACAGCUCAACUGUUGAACUGCCAUUGAUACUGAUAGGCUUGAGUACAGACGAGGUAGGCGGAAUUGAUGGUGUAGCGGUGAAAUGCAUAGAUACCGUCAAGAACACCGAUUGCGAAGGCAGCUUACUAGGCUGUAACUGACGCUGAGGCACGAAAGCGUGGGGAGCAAACAGG
rnacentral:misc_RNA from 1 species